rnacentral:rRNA from 1 species
AGUGAACGCUGGCGGUAGGCCUAACACAUGCAAGUCGAACGGCAGCACAGUAAGAGCUUGCUCUUACGGGUGGCGAGUGGCGGACGGGUGAGGAAUACAUCGGAAUCUACUUUUUCGUGGGGGAUAACGUAGGGAAACUUACGCUAAUACCGCAUACGACCUACGGGUGAAAGCAGGGGAUCUUCGGACCUUGCGCGAAUGAAUGAGCCGAUGUCGGAUUGGCUAGUUGGCGGGGUAAAGGCCCACCAAGGCGACGAUCCGUAGCUGGGGUGAGAGGGUGGUCAGCCACACUGGAACUGGGACACGGUCAAGACUCCUACGGGAGGCAGCAGUGUGGAAUAUUAGGCAAUGGGCGCAAGCCUGAUCCAGUCAUACCGCGUGGGUGAAGAAGGCCUUCGGGUUGUAAAGCCCUUUUGUUGGGAAAGAAAAGCAGCAGGUUAAUACCCCGCUGUUCUGACGGUACCCAAAGAAUAAGCACCGGCUAACUUCGUG